AAAUUACUCUCUCCAUCCUAAAAUUCUUGUCUUAGAUUUGCCUAGAUAAGGAUGUAUCUAAUACUAAAAUGUGACUUGAUGCAUAUGUAUUUAGACAAAUCUAAGACAAGAAUUUUGGGACGGAGGGAGUAAUUC
rfam:Triticum aestivum genome assembly, contig: Triticum_aestivum_CS42_TGACv1_scaffold_226909_3B